rnacentral:rRNA from 1 species
GACGAACGCUGGCGGCGUGCUUAACACAUGCAAGUCGAACGGUGAAGCGAGUGCUUGCACUCGUGGAUCAGUGGCGAACGGGUGAGUAACACGUGAGUAACCUGCCCAUCACUCUGGGAUAAGCACUGGAAACGGUGUCUAAUACUGGAUACGACCAACCCUUGCAUGGGGUGUUGGUGGGAAGAUUUAUCGGUGAUGGAUGGACUCGCGGCCUAUCAGCUUGUUGGCGGGGUAAUGGCCCACCAAGGCGACGACGGGUAGCCGGCCUGAGAGGGUGACCGGCCACACUGGGACUGAGACACGGCCCAGACUCCUACGGGGGGCAGCAGUGGGGAAUAUUGCACAAUGGGCGAAAGCCUGAUGCAGCGACGCCGCGUGAGGGAUGACGGCCUUCGGGUUGUAAACCUCUUUCAGCAGGGAAGAAGCGAAAGUGACGGUACCUGCAGAAGAAGCACCGGCUAACUACGUG